rnacentral:rRNA from 1 species
GACGAACGCUGGCGGCGUGCCUAACACAUGCAAGUCGAACGGAAAGGCCCUGCUUUUGUGGGGUGCCCGAGUGGCGAACGGGUGAGUAACACGUGAGUAACCUGCCCUUGACUUUGGGAUAACUUCAGGAAACUGGGGCUAAUACCGGAUAGGAGCUCCUGCUGCAUGGUGGGGGUUGGAAAGUUUCGGCGGUUGGGGAUGGACUCGCGGCUUAUCAGCUUGUUGGUGGGGGAGUGGCUUACCAAGGCUUUGACGGGUAGCCGGCCUGAGAGGGUGACCGGCCACAUUGGGACUAAGAUACGGCCCAGACUCCUACGGUAGGCAGAGGUGGGGAAUAUUGCACAAUGGGCGGAAGCCUGAUGCAGCGGCGCCGCGUGCGGGAUGACGGCCUUCGGGUUGUGAACCGCUUUCGCCUGUGACGAAGCGUGAGUGACGGUAAUGGGUAAAGAAGCACCGGCUAACUACGUG